rnacentral:rRNA from 1 species
GACGAACGCUGGCGGCGUGCUUAACACAUGCAAGUCGAACGGAAAGGCCCUGCUUUUGUGGGGUGCUCGAGUGGCGAACGGGUGAGUAACACGUGAGUAACCUGCCCUUGACUUUGGGAUAACUUCAGGAAACUGGGGCUAAUACCGGAUAGGAGCUCCUGCUGCAUGGUGGGGGUUGGAAAGUUUCGGCGGUUGGGGAUGGACUCGCGGCUUAUCAGCUUGUUGGUGGGGUAGUGGCUUACCAAGGCUUUGACGGGUAGCCGGCCUGAGAGGGUGACCGGCCAGAUUGGGACGGGAGUACGGCCCAGAGUCCUACGGGAGGGAACAGUGGGGAAUUUUGCACAAUGGGCGGGAGCCUGAUGCAGGAACGCCGCGUGCGGGGUGACGGCCGUCGGGUUGUAAACCGCUUUCGCCUGUGACGAAGCGUGAGUGACGGUAAUGGGUAAAGAAGCACCGGCUAACUACGUG